rnacentral:rRNA from 1 species
GACAAACGCUGGCGGCGUGCUUAACACAUGCAAGUCGAACGGUAAGGCCCUUCGGGGUACACGAGUGGCGAACGGGUGAGUAACACGUGGGUGAUCUGCCCUGCACUUCGGGAUAAGCCUGGGAAACUGGGUCUAAUACCGGAUAGGACCACUGCCUGCAUGGGUGGUGGUGGAAAGCUUCUGCGGUGUGGGAUGGGCCCGCGGCCUAUCAGCUUGUUGGUGGGGUGAUGGCCUACCAAGGCGACGACGGGUAGCCGGCCUGAGAGGGUGACCGGCCACACUGGGACUGAGAUACGGCCCAGACUCCUACGGGAGGCAGCAGUGGGGAAUAUUGCACAAUGGGCGCAAGCCUGAUGCAGCGACGCCGCGUGAGGGAUGACGGCCUUCGGGUUGUAAACCUCUUUCAGCACCGACGAAGCGCAAGUGACGGUAGGUGCAGAAGAAGGACCGGCCAACUACGUGCCAGCAGCCGCAGUAA